UACGUAGGGGCGCAAGCGUUAUCCGGAAUUAUUGGGCGUAAAGAGCUCUGUGGGCGGUUUGUCGCGUCUGCCGUGAAAAUCCGGGGCUCAACUCCGGAUCUGCGGUGGGUACGGGCAGACUAGAGUGAUGUAGGGGAGACUGGAAUUCCUGGUGUAGCGGUGAAAUGCGCAGAUAUCAGGAGGAACACCGAUGGCGAAGGCAGGUCUCUGGGCAUUAACUGACGCUGAGGAGCGAAAGCAUGGGGAGCGAACAGG
rnacentral:rRNA from 1 species